CAGCAACUCUAGCACCUGAGGCAAGGAGAAGGGCUUACUGCUAUCAGGCUGAUGAGCAGAAAUGGGUAUGUGCUAGUUAAUUAGGAGCAGCAGCGGCUUCCCGCAGAGCAGCCAGUGCAUUACCAGAAGGCAGCAUGUGCAAGAUCAGCCCCGAAGUGGGGGACCCUUUCCAGCUCCCGCCUCUCACCCUCACCAAAGGAUGUGGAAACCCCUCCGAGCAGUGCAGAACCUUGUGGGACGUAGCUUGCAGACCCAGCUAAUGCUGCUCUGGUACCUGUCUAGGACAAAUGUGAAGUCCUGCAUCCUGGAAACAAGAACACAGGCUGUGUUUGCAGGACGGGGACUUCUGCCCAGACAAGCAGGGAUCCAAGGGAGAACUGAGAGAUUAUGGUAAAUUCAAGCUUCUUGUCCAACACUAUGGCCUAAAGGUACAAGAAUAAUUUUGGCUGGAUAAAGAAGGUAAUUGCAACAUUAGGAAUGAGACACUAUUAUUUCUGCACUGGAUGAUAUGUGAAUACUCCUGAAACCUGUGUCCGUUUCUCAUCUCUUAAGAAAAUUAUUGCUGAUGUGGAGAGGGCUCAGAGAGGAGGCAGGAG
rnacentral:lncRNA from 1 species